rnacentral:rRNA from 1 species
UACGUAGGGGGCUAGCGUUGUCCGGAAUCAUUGGGCGUAAAGCGCGCGUAGGCGGCCCGGUAAGUCCGCUGUAAAAGUCCAGGGCUCAACCCUGGAACGCCGGUGGAUACUGUCGGGCUAGAGUCCGGAAGAGGCGAGUGGAAUUCCCGGUGUAGCGGUGGAAUGCGCAGAUAUCAGGAAGAACACCAACGGCGAAGGCAGCUCGCUGGGACGGUACUGACGCUGAGACGCGAAAGCGUGGGGAGCGAACAGGAUAGAUACCC